rnacentral:rRNA from 1 species
AACAGGAUUAGAUACCCUGGUAGUCCACGCCGUAAACGAUGUCGACUUGGAGGUUGUGCCCUUGAGGCGUGGCUUCCGGAGCUAACGCGUUAAGUCGACCGCCUGGGGAGUACGGCCGCAAGGUUAAAACUCAAAUGAAUUGACGGGGGCCCGCACAAGCGGUGGAGCAUGUGGUUUAAUUCGAUGCAACGCGAAGAACCUUACCUACUCUUGACAUCCAGAGAACUUAGCGGAGAUGCUUUGGUGCCUUCGGGAACUCUGAGACAGGUGCUGCAUGGCUGUCGUCAGCUCGUGUUGUGAAAUGUUGGGUUAAGUCCCGCAACGAGCGCAACCCUUAUCCUUUGUUGCCAGCGGUUCGGCCGGGAACUCAAAGGAGACUGCCAGUGAUAAACUGGAGGAAGGUGGGGAUGACGUCAAGUCAUCAUGGCCCUUACGAGUAGGGCUACACACGUGCUACAAUGGCAUACACAAAGAGAAGCGACCUCGCGAGAGCAAGCGGACCUCAUAAAGUAUGUCGUAGUCCGGAUUGGAGUCUGCAACUCGACUCCAUGAAGUCGGAAUCGCUAGUAAUCGUGGAUCAGAAUGCCACGGUGGAUACGUUCCCGGGCCUUGUACACACCGCCCGUCACACCAUGGGAGUGGGUUGCAAAAGAAGUAGGUAGCUUAACCUUCGGGAGGGCGCUUACCACUUUGUGAUUCAUGACUGGGGUGAAGUCGUAACAAGGUAACC